UACGUAGGGAGCAAGCGUUGUCCAGAAUCAUUGGGCGUAAAGCGCGCGUAGGCGGCCCUGUAAGUCCGUUGUGAAAGUCAAAGGCUCAACCUUUGAAAGCCGAUGGAUACUGCAGGGCUAGAGUCCGGAAGAGGCGAGUGGAAUUCCUGGUGUAGCGGUGGAAUGCGCAGAUAUCAGGAGGAACACCAAUAGCGAAGGCAGCUCGCUGGGACGGUACUGACGCUAAGGCGCGAAAGCGUGGGGAGCGAACAGG
rnacentral:rRNA from 1 species